UGUCCACUGAACCUUAUCAUUUAGAGGAAGGAGAAGUCGUAACAAAGUUUUCGUAGGUGAACCUGCGGAAGGAUCAUUGUCGAACCUGCACAGUAGAACGACCCGAGAACCAGUUUCAACGUCGAGGGCCGGCGGACCUUCGGGCUCGAYGUCCCCUUAUCCCGGGAGCCUACUCCCGGGUGUACAAACGAACACCGRUGCAUUUUGCGCCAAGGAACCUGAACGAAAGAUCGCGUUCUUGUCGUCUUGGAAACGGUGCGCGUGCGGGCGCGUCGUCGUCUUCGAUAUGUCAAAACGACUAUCGACUCUCGCAUCGAUGAAGAACGUAGCGAAAUGCGAUACUUGGUGUGAAUUGCAGACUCUCGUGAACCAUCGAGUCUUUGAACGCAAGUUACGCCCGAAGCCUUUAGGCCGAGGGCACGCCUGCCUGGGUGUUACACGYCGUUGCCUCCCCUGUGCCUCCCUCKGGAGCGUCCGGGUGGGGCGGAUGAUGGCCUCAGUUGCGACACCCCGCGCGGUUGGCACAAAUGCCGAGUCCUUGGCGACGAAUGCCACGACAAUCGAUGGUUGUCAAACCUCGGUUGCCCGUUGUGCGCCUUYAUCGCGCUUCGAACUGCUCGCGACGCUCGCUGCUCUGCUUCGGCAGAGCUUUCAACGCGACC
rnacentral:misc_RNA from 1 species